AUUGGAAAUAUUUAAAAAGGUAGGUGACGAAGCACUCUGAAUUGCAUUUUUAUGCCUAUGAUCAGCAUGGUAUCAACAAAGUUUAAUUGAAAAAGUUAUCUAAAUGAAGCCCAACAAAACCUAGAAUGGUAAUGCACAUUUUUCUGAAACGGCAUGUCAUACUAAUCCUGGUUUGUUCGACACAGGCCUGGCCAUUCCCGACAUGACGCUUCUCAUGGAAAAAUGUCAUGGCUGACAUUUUGUGUUGCACACAAAGUUAGGGAGAUCAGUGGACCUCAAGCCGACGCCUGGAAUGCCUGCUAUACUUGCCGUUGUCUCCCUGCCGCAUUGGUGGGAGCCACUUAGCGGCAGUGCUGACAUGGAUGCUCAGCAGCCGACUUGUUAAUGAACGUGAACUUUGGGAACCCCUCCUCCUGCGCCCUCAGCCCUCCCGCCUGCUUUCCCUUCCCGACAGGGCGUCCAUCUCCGAGCCGGGGUCGCACCGUGACGGACGCCACCGCGCAUGAAUUGCCUUGAAUGAUCUCUUCAUACAUCCGGAUGUGCGCCGGGACCUCAGCGGGGACUGGAAAUAAUUGCAUGGGUUCUUGGGACGUUUUCUCCUCACUGCAGCCUCCAUGACAGCGUCCAUGAGAGGAGUCUUCGGCCAAACUCAUCAUGCAGAGAGAAGAAGAAGACGAAGAAAAAAAAGGCCGAUGACUUCACCCUGCUACACCAGCGAAGGCCCGCGUGCAUCAGGAGCUGCCGAGGCUUGUUUUGAAAGAUGAGACUUUGUGCAUUUGGGAAGCUGGCGUGACGGCGAGCGUGUUAGGAAGGAGGAAGUGGAGAAGGACGGAGGAUGCUCGAAGUCGCCUGCUGUCAGUCCCGCUUCCGGCCAACCAAUCAGAUCACAUCCUGCCUGCACAGGUUUCCCCUUUUCACAUUUCACAUAGGUGGGAAGGAUUGUUUGUCUGUUUCGUUAGCCUGUCAGCUAAUAUCAGACAUCAGAUUCUUUUUUUCCUAAAUGCGACAUGUAUAUACAGUAUUUUUUAUCUAUGUCACUGUAAACAGUACAAAUUACAUUUUUUUUCCUUCCAAUCCCACAUGAGCCUUUUUCAUAUGUGGAUAUCAAUCACAUCCGUAUACCCGAUGCGAUGCUGAGGUCAUGCUAAUCCGACCAGUACGGCACACUUAAA